GACGAACGCUGGCGGCGUGCCUAAUACAUGCAAGUCGAACGAGGGGCGGACGGGUGAGUAAUGUCUGGGAAACUGCCUGAUGGAGGGGGAUAACUACUGGAAACGGUAGCUAAUACCGCAUACCAUCAGAUGUGCCCAGAUGGGAUUAGCUUGUUGGUGGGGUAACGGCUCACCAAGGUGACGAUCCCUAGCUGGGCUGCGUGGAUGACCAGCCACAUGUGAACUGAGACACUGUCCAGACGCCGACGUGAGGCAGUAGUGGGGAUGAUUGCACAAUGGGCGCAAGCCUGAUGCAUCCAUGCCGCGUGUAUGAAGAAGGCCUUCGGGUUGUAAAGUACUUUCAGCGGGGAGGCGUUACCCGCAGAAGAAGCACCGGCUAACUCCGUGCCAGCCGCCGCGGUAAUUC
rnacentral:rRNA from 1 species